rnacentral:misc_RNA from 1 species
CGUCAUCAGCGUAGUGCCACGGUUGUGCUCUGGUCGUGAAAAGAACCUAGUUCAAAAGGCAGAAGCAGCUCCUUGUUCUAGCACAGUAUAGUUCCAGAUCCCAGACAACCACAUUCGCACAUCUAGCCAACACUCUCUCUCACAAACACAUCUAUAUACGACGUCGGCCUGCAAAAGUGGAGUGAAGGAAGAAGAAAAUUUUCCUCGGUCGGUACAUUUCGGUGAAAGAGCAAAAGAGAAAGAAUAGGCAAAAAUUGAUUUUUUUUUUGCUGGCUGGAAUUUUCUCGCCACAAACGGAAAAAGUAACCAAAACAGGUCGAUUCCGGCCUACUGUUGAUAACGCUUUUGUUCGUUGCAUCGAUCAGUUGUGCGGACUCCUCGCUCUCUUCGGAAGUGAAGUUCUCGAUUCUGACAGUGUGUGACAUUUGGUAAACGAAGAAGGUGCAGAUCAAGCGACGCUGAGUGAGGAAAAAGUUCGUCUAAAUUUGGAAGUGUUUGGUGAAUUGCUGCGUGCGUGAGCGUGUGUGUGUUUGUUAACAGCACGCCUCCAAAGCAAAUUUUAAUUGUGAAAGCAGGGUAAAAGUACAGCCUCAAAAUUACCACUUCAAUCAUGACCAACAAAGUGUUAGCAGCCGUACAAGAUCUACAAAAACAAAAUGGCGAAUCGCAGCAGAACACCACUGCAGCGUCAUCCGGAUCGGACAACGCACGCACCAACCUGAUCGUGAACUACCUCCCACAAACAAUGACUGAGGAGGAGAUCCGUAGUCUUUUCUCUUCGGUGGGGGAGGUAGAAAGCGUCAAGCUGGUUCGGGACAAGAACGUCAUCUACCCGGGUCAACCGAAGGGACAGAGUUUGGGUUACGGCUUUGUGAACUUCCACCGGUCUCAGGAUGCUGAACAGGCGGUGAAUGUGCUGAACGGGUUGCGCCUGCAGAACAAGGUUCUGAAGGUGUCCUUUGCCAGACCCAGCUCGGAGGGCAUCAAGGGUGCAAAUCUGUACAUCUCGGGUCUGCCCAAAACCAUCACCCAAGAAGAGUUGGAGAUUAUCUUCCGACCGUACGGAGAGAUUAUUACGAGCCGUGUGUUGGUACAGGAUGGCAAUGAUAAGCCAAAGGGUGUUGGGUUCAUUCGUUUCGAUCAGCGCAAGGAAGCUGAACGGGCUAUUGCUGCACUGAACGGAACGACCCCGAAGGGAUUGACCGACCCGAUUACGGUCAAGUUCUCCAACACUCCCGGACAAAACUCGACCGCUAAGAUUGUGCAACCGGCGCUGCCAACUUUCCUGAACCCGCAGUUGACACGCCGGCUGGGUGCCAUUCAUCAUCCGAUCAACAAGGGAUUAGCUCGUUUCUCGCCGAUGGGUGGCGAAGUGCUGGACAUGAUGUUGCCGACGGCCCCAACCAACGGACUUGGCGCGGUCGCACCGUCGGGCGGCUGGAGCAUCUUCAUCUACAAUCUCGCUCCGGAAACUGAGGAAAACACGCUGUGGCAGCUGUUUGGCCCGUUCGGUGCCGUUCAGAACGUCAAGAUCAUCAAAGACUCCGCCACGAACCAGUGCAAGGGCUACGGAUUCGUCACGAUGACCAAUUACGAGGAGGCCAUGCUGGCGAUCCGAUCGCUCAACGGGUACACCCUAGGACAGCGGGUGUUACAAGUCAGCUUCAAGACCAACAAAUCAAACUCCGGAUUGGGCGAUCAUUAAAGAUCAUUGUAGGAAGUAAAUCAAGCGCCUCAGGACGCUACCCCCUUGCGCGGCAGUAAUGGUCAUCCACCAUCCACACCCCCUUGGUUUAUGUUAGAAACAAUUGAGAGUGAUGUGUGCAAUAGGAUGUGACCAUGUUUUUUUUUCUUUCUAUCCUACCUUUAAUCUUACUUUACCUACCCAUUCUACUCUUGCUUUUGCUUAGAUUAUCGUAAGGCAACUUAGAAUAUAUUUAGAGCGAAACGGACAGAGAGAAACCUUAUUUAUUGAAACAGAUUUUCACACUUAUUUAAAAACAAAUAGUUUGGGUAGCAAAACAUUAGACAAGUAAGCAUAUUUGUGUAUCACUCUUAUCACUGCACAGACACACUGGCAAUUUUGAGUUUUUGAGUUUGACCAUUUUAAAUUUUUGCCAGCAAACGCAACGUACUCUGUUUAUUUGAGUAUUUUGAAAGCGAGGCGCUAAUUUUUCAUCCUAGUUCCUUAAAACAAUGGGGUCAUAAUUUAAACCAAAAAAAGUGUCCCCCGAGAAUCCAGCAAAUUGUGUUGUCUAACAAUAUAUUGAGAAAAAAAAAUCAUUUGGAAAAAAUCACAAACUCUCACUCACACAAGUACAAACAGAUCAAAAACAACGCUUAAGUGAAAAAUAGCAUUCCCACACAGGUUUUGAACACAACUCGUACUCGUAAUCAGACAAUUUGCUGGAUUGUCCCCCCUUCAAAUGCUGAAGAAAUACGCUAAAAUAGAAGAAAACAGAAAAAAACCCUGGCUGAAAAUCAGCAAUUUAAACAAAACAAAAAAUGCAGAAAGUUAUCACCAAAACCACCAACAUUGUUAUUACAAAAAAAAAAAAACGAUGGCUUGAUUUCUGUUCAGAAUCACAGUUUUUCACUGUAUUUUACUAGGAAGCAAUGUUUCGAACAAUUAUAUAAACACAGAGUAAUACCACCUUAAAGAGGAAAUCGAAGCGACUCUCAAAACAAAACAUUCGAAUAUUAAGCAAAGAAAAAACUGGGAAAAAUACUGAUAUUUGAAACCAACUAUAGAAAUAAUUGUCACAUUUGGUAGCUUCAGUUAUUGUUCCCCCUUCUGGACAGAUAUCUUGAAUGUAAGUGAAACAAUACAACAACAUUUUAACUUAUUGCAGAAAAAGAGAAAGAGACAAAAACAAAAAGAAAACAUUAGGAUAAAACAAAAGCAAAACGUAUAUAAUUACAGCUUUGAUUUGUCAUUAUUUAUAUUCGAAUUAAUCAAUGUAUGAUUUUAUUUUCCCAAAUAUGUUCUUGUGUAUAUAAAAAUUAUAAAACAGAAAAUCAACAUUAAAAUAGUGAAAAAAAAAUAUGGAAUACAAUAAAAACUUAUAAUUUACGUCCAUUUUUCUUCAUUUUAUUUUUCCGUUAUUCCUUUAUUGGUUUCCACUAACAACAACAAAAAUAGCAGUUCAAGCAACAGUAUCGACCAGCAAUCAACAAUUUGGCGUGUGUGCUUCAUUUCCUUGAGUUCGUUUGUUGCGUCCCAAAACGGAGAGUUUGUCUGAUUUAAAAGUUGCCAUUUUUUCCUGCAUUUUCAGGGUAUGAUACGCAAAUAUUUCCUUUUUUUUAAAAAAAAGACACUGAAAUGUUUCCAAAAAUCUAAUUUAAUUUUAAAAUAUUUGUGAUCAUGCCCUGUAAAGCGGAAAAAGUUCAAUUUAAACAAAAUAAUGUUAAUGGACGAAUGUGCUUUUGUAAAUAGUGCAACGUCAGUGAAUGUUUGCAUUAAAAAUAAGCACAAACGCAAAUUCGUCCAUUUAAAUUGUUUUGCUUAAAUUUGAAAUCAGCCUACUUUGCGUUAUCUUCCUCAGUUUUGUUGUGCGUCUGUUUCUUGGGUUUGUAAGUGCUGUUUUAGGAGUAUUCCGAUUGGGUUUUUAAGUUCACCGUCUUCAAAAUAGUAAAAAACGAUACACUUUACUCAUUCUGCCCCCUUCACACAUACACACACACAAAGUCACACAAAUUACCAAAAAAAAAGACCAAGAAAACACGCUUCCAAGGGUCGAAACGUCGGUUUUUACGUCACUUUUAUGUGUUUCUUUUGGUUCGUCCACUCAAAUCUCCACCCUUUUUUUGGUCAGGCAUUCCAAUUUUGUGUUUUGAUGACAAACAUCCAUCGAAAAGGAUUGAAAACAAACAAACAAAAAAUCGCAACAGUUUUGUUCUGAUAUCAGUUUUUAUCGGCUUCUUCUUCCGUUCCAAAAAAAAAAACAACAGCAACCAAAAACAAUCGAAUUUGUUCACUUCCGUUUCCGUCACUUUUAAGUUCCCGUGAAUUUGUGUACGUGUGUGCGUGUAUCGUCAGACUUUUUGAGUUCACGGAAUUCACGGUGAAAGCCAAGCAAACAACAACAACCAAAAAAAAGUAUCAACAGCAAACCUAGAGCAUCGUUUUGUAAGCGUAUACCUAAGUCAAAUGCAAAUCAUUUCAUUUGGUUUAUUACUUAUUAUUAUCUUUCUGUGGGUAAGUAAUGAUUUCACGUUUUCUUUCUUAUUCCUGUUUUCAGGAUUUUCCGUUGUCUAUUUACUGUCAUUUCAAGCUUUCCACCUAACAAUUUUAUCUCAUAUGUUAUUUUUGUCGUAUCACAGCAGAAAUCGAGCAAAAUAACAAUAAAAGAACCAAAAACGAACACAUCGUCUUUGGUCCUUUUACAAUGUUUUGCUUGAAAUCACAGUAGACUCGUGUAAAAUCUCUCAGGUGACACUUCGAAAGGACGUAAACAAGAAAUGAACUGUUUGUUUAUCUACAUGGUUACGUCCAUAUGAACUGUCUGCUUGUUACGAUGGCUACUGCGAUCAAUCAUUUGGUCAUGCUUAAGUUGUUAAAAAUGAGUUUUUAUUAUGUGAAGUAGUCUUCAUUCUUUUACCAUUCUGCUCUUCUGAGAAGAGUUUUAUGUUAACAAUUAUUUUAAUAACAUUUUCAUGGUUUUUGUUGAAUUACACUUUUUCAAACUUUUUUCCGUAAACAACCAACACGUGAAUGUAUUUUUGUGCGCAUUUUGUAUUUUGUUUAGCAUGCUGUUUGAAAACAUAGUUCACCCCCACAGUCAACAUUCAUAAUUAAGUUUAUGUUUAGAACGUUCAUUUUAUCAAAAAAAAAAAAGUAUUUUUUGAUCAUUUCUUCUCGGUUUCAUUUUCAUCGCCACUUAUUGUUGUCUAUCUAUAACAGUCACAGUUCUUUGUGAAUUUUAUAAUAUUACGUUCUAAUUAAUUUCUGAACGCCCAAUUGCGCAUUAAUUACGUGUCUUAUCGAUUAAUUGUUAAACAGCUUGUAUUUUUUAAUUAUUUUCAGCAAAAAAAAAACGAGCAAGUGCAAACGUUUCUCACUUUUUUCCAGGUACAUUUCACAUGUUUUGUUAUUGAUUUGUUGUUCCAUGAUUACCAAAAAACAAAACCACAUAAGUUUGUUGUCUUGAUUUUUUCGUCAUGUGUUCAGAGUUUUUUCCGUAAUUACAAAUCAAAGCAAA